rnacentral:rRNA from 1 species
CUUGACACAUAUAAGAGGUCCAGCCUGCCCAGUGACUAAGUUCAACGGCCGCGGUAUCCUAACCGUGCGAAGGUAGCGUAAUCACUUGUUCUUUAAAUGAGGACUAGUAUGAAUGGCACCACGAGGGUUAUACUGUCUCCUUUUUUUAAUCAAUGAAACUGAUCUCCCCGUGAAGAAGCGGGGAUAAAUCUAUAAGACGAGAAGACCCUAUGGAGCUUUAAACAAUUAUAGCACUGGCCCACACCUCUUAUUCUUCUGAGAUAUAAUUAUUAUACAGGCCAACAUGACUAUUAGUUUUAGGUUGGGGUGACCACGGAGCAAAAAUUAACCUCCACGUUGAACGGAGCUACUCCUGAGCUAAAAGCUACAACUUUAAGCACCAAUAAACUGACAUCAAUUGACCCAAUAUAUUGAACAACGAAC